rnacentral:misc_RNA from 1 species
UCCUGGUUAACCCAGGCAGUCUCAUUAGAGUCCCCACCUUAAAUGUUGGCAACUAAUGAUAAGGGUUGCGCUCGUUGCGGGACUUAACCCAACACCUCACGGCACGAGCUGACGACAGCCAUGCAGCACCUAUGCAGCAGUCCUUACGGAAAGCCUCAUUUCUGAGGUUGUCCACUGCACUUCGAGCCUGGGUAAGGUUCUUCGCGUUGCAUCGAAUUAAACCACAUGCUCCACUGCUUGUGCGGGCCCCCGUCAAUUCUUUUGAGUUUCACCCUUGCGAGCGUACUCCUCAGGCGGUAUACUUAUCGCGUUAGCUUCGACACAGUCAGGGUUGAGCCCAACUACAUCAAGUAUACAUCGUUUACGGCAAGGACUAC